rnacentral:rRNA from 1 species
AUGAACGCUGGCGGCGUGCCUCAUACAUGCAAGUCGAGCGAACAGAUGAGGAGCUUGCUCCUCUGACGUUAGCGGCGGACGGGUGAGUAACACGUGGAUAACCUACCUAUAAGACUGGGAUAACUUCGGGAAACCGGAGCUAAUAUCGGAUAAUAUAUUGAACCGCAUGGUUCAAUAGUGAAAGACGGUUUUGCUGUCACUUAUAGAUGGAUCCGCGCCGCAUUAGCUAGUUGGUAAGGUAACGGCUUACCAAGGCAACGAUGCGUAGCCGACCUGAGAGGGUGAUCGGCCACACUGGAACUGAGACACGGUCCAGACUCCUACGGGAGGCAGCAGUAGGGAAUCUUCCGCAAUGGGCGAAAGCCUGACGGAGCAACGCCGCGUGAGUGAUGAAGGUCUUCGGAUCGUAAAACUCUGUUAUUAGGGAAGAACAAAUGUGUAAGUAACUAUGCACGUCUUGACGGUACCUAAUCAGAAAGCCACGGCUAACUACGUG